UACGAGAGCCCCGAGCGUUAUCCGGGUUUAUUGGGCGUAAAGGGUGAGUAGGUUGUUGUGUUAGUCUUUUGUUAAAUCUCCAGGCUCAACUUGGAAACCGCAAAGGAAACGGCACGACUGGAGUAUGUGAGAGGUGUGCGGAACUCUAGGUGUUGGGGUGAAAUCCGUUGAUAUCUAGGGGAACACCAAAAGCGAAGGCAGCACACUGGCACAUUACUGACACUGAAUCACGAAAGCGUGGGUAGCGAAUGGG
rnacentral:rRNA from 1 species